UACGUAGGGUGCGAGCGUUGUCCGGAAUUAUUGGGCGUAAAGAGCUCGUAGGCGGUGUGUCACGUCGGCCGUGAAAACCCGCAGCUCAACUGUGGGCUUGCAGCUGAUACGGGCAGGCUUGAGUUCGGUAGGGGAGACUGGAAUUCCUGGUGUAGCGGUGAAAUGCGCAGAUAUCAGGAGGAACACCGGUGGCGAAGGCGGGUCUCUGGGCCGAAACUGACGCUGAGGAGCGAAAGCGUGGGGAGCGAACAGG
rnacentral:rRNA from 1 species